rnacentral:ncRNA from 1 species
AAAUAAAUUUUUUAUGUUUUUAAUAAUUUAUUAUAAAUUUAUUUUACAUAUAAAUUUUAGUAUUAAAUUUUAAUUAUUUUAAUAAUAAUUAAUUUAAUUUAAAUAGUAAUUAAAAUUAAAAAUUUAAGAAAUUAAGAUUUAGUAAUAUUUAAAUUAAUAACUAAUUUUGUGCCAGCAGUUGCGGUUAAACAAAAUUUAAAUUGAAUUAUUUCAGUAUAAAAUAAAUAAAAAAAAAUAUUAAAUUAAAUAUUAAAUUGUUAAGUGAAAUUUCAAUUUGAUUAAAAAUUAUUAUAAAAUUAUGAUUUAAUAAAUUUUAUCAUAAACUAGGAUUAGAUACCCUAUUAUUAAAAAUUUAAUUAAAAAAUACUAAAAUAGUAGAUAAAAUAUUAUUGAAACUUAAAUAAUAUGGCGGUAUUUUAGUUCAUUUAGAGGAAUCUGUUUAUUAAUUGAUAAUCCACGAAUAAAUUUACUUAAUUUAUAAUUUUGUAUAUCAUUGUUAAAAAAAUAUUUUUAAAUAAAAAUAAUAUUUAAAAAUUUAAAAUAAAAUUUAAUUCAGAUCAAGAUGCAGAUUAUAAUUAAGUUUAAAAUGGAUUACAAUAAAUUUAUUUAAACGAAAAAAAAAAUUAAAGAUUUGAUUGAAGGUGGAUUUAAAUGUAAUUUUAAUUAGUUUAUUAAAAUGAUUAAAAAUUGGAAUAUGUACAUAUUGCCCGUCACUUUCAUUUUAAAAUUGAAAUAAGUCGUAACAAAGUAGAGGUACUGGAAAGUGUUUCUAGAAUGAU